rnacentral:rRNA from 1 species
AUUGAACGCUGGCGGAAUGCUCUACACAUGCAAGUCGAACGAUGAACCUUAGCUUGCUAGGGGGAUUAGUGGCGAACGGGUGAGUAACAUAUCGGAACGUACCUAGUAAUGGGGGAUAACUAGUCGAAAGAUUAGCUAAUACCGCAUACGCCCUGAGGGGGAAAGUAGGGGAUCUUCGGACCUUACGUUAUUAGAGCAGCCGAUAUCUGAUUAGCUAGUUGGUGGGGUAAAAGCCUACCAAGGCGACGAUCAGUAGCUGGUCUGAGAGGACGACCAGCCACACUGGAACUGAGACACGGUCCAGACUCCUACGGGAGGCAGCAGUGGGGAAUUUUGGACAAUGGGGGCAACCCUGAUCCAGCCAUUCCGCGUGAGUGAAGAAGGCCUUCGGGUUGUAAAGCUCUUUCGCAAGGGAAGAAAACUUACAUUCUAAUAAAGUGUGAGGCUGACGGUACCUUGAUAAGAAGCACCGGCUAACUACGUGCCAGCCGCCGCCGUAA